CAAGGUGCUGCAUGGUUGUCGUCAGCUCGUGCCGUGAGGUGUCGGGUUAAGUCCCAUAACGAGCGCAACCCUUACCGUUAGUUGCCAUCGGGGUCAAGCCGGGGACUCUAGCGGGACUGCCACCGUAAGGUGAGAGGAAGGUGGGGAUGACGUCAAAUCAGCACGGCCCUUAUGUCCAGGGCUACACACGUGUUACAAUGGCCGGUACAGAGGGCAGCUACCUGGUGACAGGAUGCUAAUCCCGAAAGCCGGUCCCAGUUCGGAUUGGAGUCUGCAACCCGACUCCAUGAAGUUGGAUUCGCUAGUAAUCGCGCAUCAGCCAUGGCGCGGUGAAUACGUUCCCGGGCCUU
rnacentral:rRNA from 1 species